rnacentral:rRNA from 1 species
AUGCCAUGUUCGUCUUUAAAAUUCCUAAAAGAAAUUGCAAAGGAAUCAUUGACGCGAUGUCACAUUUCUGGUGGGGUGACGGAGACAAUCAGAAGAGAAUGCAUUGGAUGGCGUGGUGGAAAAUGUGUGUACCAAAAGAUCAAGGUGGAAUUGGAUUCUGAGAUAUACACUGUUUUAAUUUGGCCUUGGUAG